GACGAACGCUGGCGGCGUGCUUAACACAUGCAAGUCGAACGGUGAAGCGCCUUCCUUUUUGGUGGGUGUGGAUGAGUGGCGAACGGGUGAGUAACACGUGAGUAACCUGCCCCCUUCUUCUGGAUAACCGCAUGAAAGUGUGGCUAAUACGGGAUAUUCUGGGUCUGUCGCAUGAUGGGUCUGGGAAAGAUAUUGUUUCGGUGGGGGAUGGGCUCGCGGCCUAUCAGCUUGUUGGUGGGGUGAUGGCCUACCAAGGCGGUGACGGGUAGCCGGCCUGAGAGGGUGGACGGUCACACUGGGACUGAGACACGGGCCAGACUCAUACGGGAGGCAGCAGGGGGGAAUAGGGCACAAGGUGCGCAAGCCUGAUGCAGCGACGCCGCGUGAGGGAUGGAGGCCUUCGGGUUGUGAACCUCUUUCGCCAGUGAAGCAGGCCUGCCUCGUUUGUGGGUGGGUUGACGGUAGCUGGAUAAGAAGCGCCGGCUAACUACGUG
rnacentral:rRNA from 1 species